AAUCAACGCUGGCGGCGUGCCUAACACAUGCAAGUCGAACGCGAAAGGGGCUUCGGCCCUGAGUAGAGUGGCGAACGGGUGAGUAACACGUGGGUGAUCUACCUCUGAGUGGGGGAUAACGUUCCGAAAGGAGCGCUAAUACCGCAUGAUGUCCUGGGUUUGAAGACCUGGUGACCAAAGUCGGGGACCGCAAGGCCUGACGCUGGGAGAGGAGCCCGCGCCUGAUUAGCUAGUUGGUGGGGUCAUGGCUCACCAAGGCGACGAUCAGUAGCCGGCCUGAGAGGGCGGACGGCCACACUGGGACUGAGACACGGCCCAGACGCCUACGGGAGGCAGCAGUGGGGAAUAUUGGACAAUGGGCGCAAGCCUGAUCCAGCCAUGCCGCGUGUGUGAAGAAGGCCUUCGGGUUGUAAAGCACUUUUGUCCGGAAAGAAAAGCUGCCGGUUAAUACCCGGCGGUCAUGACGGUACCGGAAGAAUAAGCACCGGCUAACUUCGUGCCAGCAGCCGCGGUAAGAC
rnacentral:rRNA from 1 species